AGGUACCCCCAGCUUCCAUGGCUUGACGGGCGGUGUGUACAAGGCCCGGGAACGUAUUCACCGCAGCAUUGCUGAUCUGCGAUUACUAGCGAUUCCAACUUCAUGAAGUCGAGUUGCAGACUUCAAUCCGAACUGGGACAGGCUUUUUGAGAUUGGCUCAGCGUCACCGCUUCGCUACCCUCUGUACCUGCCAUUGUAGCACGUGUGUAAGCCCUGGGCGUAAGGGCCAUGAUGAUUUGACGUCAUCCCCACCUUCCUCACUCCUUGCGAAGGCAGUCUUAGUAGAGUCCCCAGCUUGACCUGUUGGCAACUACUAAUAGGGGUUGCGCUCGUUGCGGGACUUACCCACACCUACGGCACGAGCUG
rnacentral:rRNA from 1 species